CUGGGGGUAGCUUAAGUUUAAAGCUUAGGAUUCUUACUUCUAUGAUGUCCCGUAGGGGAUUCCCCGGG
rnacentral:tRNA from 1 species